AUGACCCAGUGUUGCUCCCCUUGCUGCCAGCCUAUGUGCUGCAAGACCACCUGCUACAGGAGCAUCUGCUGUGGGUCCAGCUCCCGCCCGCCUUGCUGUGGCCCAAUUUGCUGUGCAAUCACCUGCUACAGGACCGUCUGUGUGACCACCUGCUGCAGCCCACCCUGCUGCCAGCCCACCUACUGUGAGUCCAGCUGCUACCAGCCU
rnacentral:lncRNA from 1 species